rnacentral:rRNA from 1 species
UGGUAGAGCGAUUUGUCUGGUUAAUUCCGAUAACGAACGAGACUCUGGCCUAUUAAAUAGUUCGCCGAUUCCGAUCUGUCGGCGUUAACUUCUUAGAGGGACAAGUGGCUUUUAGCCACGCGAGAUUGAGCAAUAACA